UGAUUACGUCCCUGCCCUUUGUACACACCGCCCGUCGCUGCCCGGGACUGGGUUACCUCGAGAAAACUAGGGAUCGUCGUUGUUCAAUAUUUCGGUAUUGCCUUCGGUGAGAACGAGUUUAAUCGCGGUGGCCUGAACCGGGCAAAAGUCGUAACAAGGUAGCCGUAGGUGAACCUUCGGCUGGAUCAUUACCUUUAAACGACAUUUAGUUUUGGCCUUCGAAAGUUGGUCAGAAUGAAUAAAUCCGUCUUCCCGUGGCAGCAAUGUCUCUGGGUUGAUUGAAGAGAGAGAACGAAACGGCUUCCGCUAGGAUUCUAGGUUUCGGAGGAGCAGUUGUGUUACACGUCCGUGGCUGUGUUGAUUCCGAUUCGGUAGCGGCCCAAAUUCAUUUGGGCUGUAGAAUUAAUGACCCCGAGAGGGCGCCUAGCAAAAUUUUCAUUUUUCAAUUUUUUUCAAACAAACAAAAGCUAAGUUGUAUCGAUGGAUCACUUGGUUCGUGGUCGAUGAAGAUCGCAGUGAAUUGCGAUAAUAAAUAUGAAUUACAGAUAUUUAGAAUACAGUGUUAUCGAAUGCAUAUUGCGUCGUUGGGUUUUUGCCCUUCGGCGUGUACGAUUCAGGGUGUUUUCUCACAAAACACUCACUCUAUUUACUGCGGAUAGAGUGUAAACAAAAUUUGAUGAUUGCAUUGCAAUUACUUAAUCUGGACCGAAUGCCUAGUCAUGUGAUUAGGUGUUGGGCGAGCAAUAUUAGGCUCCGUAUUCCAAACAAGCGUUUAAUGCAUUUUGCGAGUCUAUUCAUUCCAGACUGUGAUUUGAUCAUGUAAAUUAUUAUUUCUUGGUUGUUUCGCAUCCGGGUUGGGUAGAGGAUGACUCGUGGAGUGUAAGUUUGCAUUUCGGUGUGAGCGACGUUUGGCGGUGUCCUAGAAUUGAUUAAACCACCUGAAUUGUGCAAGAUCACCCGCUGAACUUAAGCAUAUCAGUAAGCGGAGGAAAAGAAACAAACUUGGAUUUCCUUAGUAACGGCGAGUGAAAAAUCACUA
rnacentral:misc_RNA from 1 species